GCUGUAUAAGAAUUUUGCAAUGUCAACUGUGAAGUUUGAAUUGGAUAAUCUUUCUCCUGAAGGAUUCAGACAUGAGCAUGCUUCCAGCUCAGAUUUUGCUUUAACCUGCUUGACUGAACUUUCUGGUGAUUCUAGUCAAUGGGAACUUCAGCACUCCAGUUCUGUCCCUGUUGUCACUCACAGGAGUCUUUCAUCAGCCUUAAAAUGGAGCCAUUUAAUUGGUAUUGAGCUAGGUGAGAAAGUACAGGAAGAGAGACUGAAAAGAACAUUAUAUACAAGGU
rnacentral:lncRNA from 1 species